AAACUCUCUCUUCAAAGUUCUUUUCAACUUUCCCUUAAGGUACUUGUGGACUAUCGGUCUCGUUCCGGUAUUUGGCCUUC